UACAAAUUAUGCAAAAAAAACUCGCAAAAUUAAAAUGUUAAUAAAAAGCUUAAAAAUGCCAACGGACCAAACUCGGUAAAUCUGCCACUGCAGGCGUAUAUCACAGAUAUAAAUAUAUAAUAGAAUUUAGUACAAUUAUUAUUUUGUGGCUUUAUAUAAUGUAGGUGUCCUAAGGAACAUGUAUCAUAAUCCAAAGGAAAAUUCAAAAUAUG